rnacentral:lncRNA from 1 species
CAUCAUUGGUUAUGAUGCGAUAAGUUGCCCCAUACUCAGCUGUGGGUACGAAAUUUUGGAAUUCUCCCAGUGGACCUGUGUUGACAAUUUUGAAGGUAUUGUUUGUUGGCACUUGAGCUCUGGUGCUAAUGGCCAAGAAACAGAGGAGGAGGAGAAUGCUAAGACAGGGUGAAAAUGGAAAGGUACGACGAGCCAUUGGAAUUCUUUUUGUGCAAUAAGGAAUAAAGGGCAAGCUAAUCAGUUGGAAAUGGAAUGAGAGAUAUGAAGUGGGUUGUAACCAUUUGGUAUUUAUAGAUUUUUUUUAUUGGUUUUUCUGCAUACAAUUGUUGAAAUUUGAAAACUGAUCAAAAAAAUAUUGAAAAUUGAAAUUUGAAUUUCAACGUCAAAGUUGGUAACCUGCAAACAAGAUUGAGCAUCCAUCUAGUAACAUAGUAUUACAUAAUUUUGUUCUAUGUCGUUUUGGUUGUCAAAUGAUUAUAAUGUACAACACAAUUUUUUAUAAGGGAAAACGAAACAAAUAAUCCCUUACAUAUUACUUAUUUAAUCAUUCACAUACAUAAAAAUGCAAAUUCAUCCUUUAAAUAUAUAAGGGAUAAUUUUAGAAACCUCCCUGAGGUUUCUAAUAAUUUCACAAAGCUCCCCUUAAUAUUUCAAAAUUACACAUACCUCCCCUAUUGCUGUAAAAGUACUCUACUACCCCUAUAUAGGAUACUUAAUGACUUUUUCUUUUUGGAAAUUUCAGAAAUUUCAAGAAAAACUAAAAUUGACUUGUUUUUUCUCUCUCUCUCUCUCUCUACCUUACUCUUUCUUCCAUUUCCUUUUUUGCUAAAUUCCUACCACUCAUUCCUCUCUACCUAAUAUUCUUCCUCCAAUUCACGACCAAAUUCUAUCUAUUAUCCCUUACCCGUAUUUAUCCCCCUCCUUCCCUUUUUCUUCUUCUUCUUUUAUCUCUAUUCUCAUCUCUUUUUUGCAAAUAUGAUCAAGUUCAUCCUUUUUAUCCUUUUAAUUCUAAGUGUAAUGGGUUUGAUUUUUCUGCGUCUAUUUAUUUUAUCCAAUGUUAGUUGAUUAUGGGUGAUAAAACUUAGUGAUGUCAAAAGUCAAGAAUUUGAGGGAUGGAUGUGCUUUAGAAAUGGGUUGUCGAAAAAAAAAAGAAGGCUGCAAAAAGAGAAAGACGAGAGAUCUGUGCUAUUGAUUGUUGAUGAAGUGUUAGUUUUGGGUAAAAGUUUGAGACUGAGUUUUAUCCAAUUUAGCACCAAGUGACGGAUUUAAUUAACUUGUGUAGUAAAUGUAGCCAUGUAGGGGUUGGGUUAUUGGACAUAAAUUAGGCUAUAGUGUUUUAAGUGCUAGAAUUAUUGAAAUUUAUUUUGAUUUAAAUUGGGGUGUUUGCUUGGCUUUUGGGGUGGAGUUGUUUGGAAUAAGGCAAUCAUCAUAGUUGAAUUUUUCUCCAAACUUUUAUUUUUGGUAGAAAGAGUUUGUUGGCUCUGGUGUUAGAAGAAAAGCAAUCAACAGAGCUCUUUUAUUUUUCCUUUUUAUCUUUUUGACAAAAAGGGUAGUUUAGGAUAUUUGAAGGAAUUGGUAGCCUAUUGGACAUAUUUUGAAGCAUAAAUAGUGAAAGCAAGGUAGGUGUGUGUAAUUUUUGAAACCUAAGGGGAGCUUCUUGUAAUUGUUAGAGACCUCAAGGGAGGUUUAUGAAAUUAUCCCAAUAUAUAAAUUGCAUCAUGUUUGUCUGAAAAUUCAUUUUAGGAAAUUCUUUUUUUACCUGAAAACGCCAUGUGGCUACCAAAUGAAAUAUUUCAAAGAUAAAAAAGACAUUACAUACUCAUGAUUUAUCCAUUUUUUUUUGCCUUUUUUCCUCCUCUGUUUUUGCUUCACCAACAUUCAAACAGCAAAUCCUAGAUCCACCACCAUAGUCCGCAAUUUCCAGAUAACAAACACUAUCAAAUAUUGUUUAAUAUCCAGAAAUUGUAAAUUACGGAGAUUUUGCUACAAAAGCCUCAUUGCUGCCGCUAUAACAAGACAAACGCCGCUAUAGUUUGAUAAGCAUACAGAAUAGAGGAUUUGUAUGCUAAUUAAUUUUCUUUUUGUUUUCUGAAAAAGGAAUAAUAUUAAUCAUUCGAUCAUGCAAUUCUAAUAGUGCUUAAAUAAUUAGAUUAGAUUGUGGUGCGAUUGGUAUAUGUCAGGAAUGAAUUUGCAUCAUUUUGAUAAUGAGCGAUUAAAUAACUACAAAUGCGACUACUUGUAUUUUUUUUUUUUACAAUAUCGCAACACAUCAUCUGUCCCGCUUUUUAUUUCACUCCAUAUCUCAGCUUUUAUUAUAGUGUCAUUUUUCUUUCACAAACAUCUUAUUCUACUUCUUUUUUAUUUCCUUAAGUUCCAAUAACUACUAACAUAUUGUAAAACACAAAUUUAAUCAUACAAAAAAAAAACAAAAUAUCACUAAAAAAAUGAGAUUUUUAUGAUUUUUUUUGUUGUACUUUUUGUUUUUCUAUUAAGGAAAAUGAUCGGUUUCAUUCUUCACAUUUCACAAAAAUAUUCUUUUCAUCCCUCACUUAAAAACCGAAGCAAUAUCGCCCUUGACAUUUAAAAACUGAAGUUCUUACAUCCCUGAACCCAAAUUUCAAUGUGAAUCAAACUACCAAUCAACUUGAUUACAAAUUUUGGGGAUGUAAUUGGUAGAUCACUUGGUUAACUCACCUUGAUAUUCAUGUAAAAUUUAACGAACCCAAAAAUAAAAAAUAAAAAAUUAUAACAUAAAAAAGAAAUAUUAAUCUUUCCUACAUUAUCAUUAUAUACACUGACGGUGACGGUUUUAUGUACCGCCAUAUCAUUUCAAUUUAAAUUUAAACACCAAAUUUUAUAUUUAUGAUACGCAUCUAGAUUCGCAAGCGGAUAUACAAACGGUGUAUGAAAAGAUUUAUCCAAAAAAAAAACUCUACUAUUCCAAGACAAAGAAUGGCCUUUUAUGUUAUAAUUUUUAUUUUUUUUUUGGUUUAAUAAAUGUCAUGUGAAUAUGAUGAAAUUGACUGGGUGAUUUAUCAAUUCUAUUUCCAAAAUUUAUUACUAGGUUAUUGAAUGGUUUGAUUCAGAUUCAAAAUUAGGUUCAGGGAUGUAAUAGUUUUAAUUUUUAAAUGUCAGGGACGAAUUUGCUUCAUUUUAAAAGUAAAGGACGAAAAGAAUAUUUUUGCGAAAUGUGAAGGAUGAAAUAGGUCAUUUUUCCUUUCUAUUGUAUUAUACUUUUUAAUAUGUUGAAUUUUGUGUUUUACCCUUUAGUAGUCAUUGAAACUUUAGGAAAUAAAAUAAAAUAUUUGUAAAGGAGGAAUGACAAAAUAAUUAAAGAUGUGACAUACGAUAAAAGAGGUAGGAUACAGUGGGUCAUAAUAUGCAAAAAAUGGCAAGUAUUAAGCUACUAAAAAUAAAUGGUAGAAAGAAAGUCCACUUUUGGAAGUUUGAAGUCAAUAUAGCAGCUGAGUCAAAAAAAAAAAAGUCAAUAUAGCAGCCUGUAGAUGUGCUGCAAUCCCCUUAGAACCGGGCUCCGUGUCGUCUUCACCCUUCACUAAUUAGCAACUUGAGCACAUUGCAGACAAACCUUUCCUCUUUGCCUUUGGGGUUAGAAGAUGGGAAAACGCGUCUGCUUCUUCUAUACUUUUGGGCUGUAACGCAGCAGCAUUUAGCAACUGUAAUGAAGUUAAUAAAGUUUAACAGAAGGAUAACAUCAAGGUUUUAGACAAUUAUCCUAGAUCCAAACCUUCCAAUUGCCUGAACCAUAAAGGACUUUAACAUCUUUGGCUCCCGGUUUGAGUGCGCUAGGCUCAAAGAUUGGCGAAGAACGUUUGGCACGGUUAAAUUGAAAACCAGCAUUAAAUGGUGACAGUCCAUUUUGUAUCCUUCCAUUUUUUUUUGUUUGGAUCCAUUUUGGUUCUCUUUUGCAUGGGCGCAAUCUGUAGCAAUAGAUGCUGAUGCAGAUCAGCAGAUGGAUGCUUCCAGUUCCAUAUGGGAUGAAUUGUGAUCAAAGUAUUAAUCUAUCCUUAUGGCUUUGUUUCAUGUUUACCUGCUUGGCAAUGAGAAAAGCCAUGCACGGCUUUCUUUAUUUGUUGAGAGACUGAUCACAUCAAAACCAAGAGAUUCAUCACCUCAAACCGCGCAUGAUUUUUAAUUUAUCAAGUCAGUCAAGAAUUGUGUGGUAGCUUUGUGGGCUGGGAAAGUGGGAAUGCGCCAGAAUUUGCAGAUUGGUUGUGGUCCUGUGGAGUGGACCUGCGCGCAUUGCUAGCUUUGAGUGAUUGGAAAAGUCGGGCGAAUGGAUAAAUAUUGAAUACAUGCAUGCAUGAUAUAAAGUCAUUAGCAACCAAUGUCAAAUAGUCAUUGCAGAAGACUUGUGGGUUCCUCUUUGAUGUCUUGGACCAUUUCGAUAUGUGUUCUUUGAACAUAAUUGUGUGCUUAUCAUUAAUGGCAUGAUGGUAUAAUCUUUCUUUCCUGUCUCUUUUUGUUAUGCGCGCAAGAAUGAUCAACAUCGACAAGUUUGCUUGCGGUUGGUUGUUAGAUGCACGAUUUUGAUUUACUUAUUUGUUUUUGGUAAAUAAAAGUUUGAUUUUAAAGGAGAGGAACAUAGUUCAGGCUAAGGCUCUGUUUGGUAUGAUAUAAAGUAUUUUCCUUAAGAAAAUAUUUUCCAUGGAAGUUCUUUUCUGGGAAAAUAUUCACAUUUUUCAAUGUUUUCUGAUGUUUGGUUGAAAUUUUUAACUACAUUUUUAUUAUCAAAAUUCAACUCCUUCCGCCACUCGCUUUUCUCUUCCACUGCUGGAAACCGAUCUUCCUAAUUCCUACCACUAAAAAUAGCAGAACCGCUCAAAAUGGAAUAAUCCAAGUCAGGCAUAAGGACAAUUCGUUGACUCAUAACUAUUGGCGCCAUAAAAGACAUUACCAAGCUAGACAUAUCAAGACCAUGAAAUGGCUGGUGAUUAAGGUCAAUCAAUGAAAGUGAAAGAACAGGCAUAAAUAUCUUCUCAAGUUGAAGAAAUAGGCUCUGUUCUUUUUCAUAUGAUUAGUGCUCUUAUUGACUCGUAUAUGAAAUUUGGUUUAAAGAUCAUAUACUAGCGCUCAAACCACAACCUCAAAGGCAUUAAAAUCCAGGCAAAUUUGAGCUAAAGAUACAUAAUUUUGAUUAAGAAAACAGUGUAAAGAAAAUUAAAAUGACUGAAGAAAGACAGUGGGAAUUGAUAAUAAUCCAAAUUGUUAACAAAUUCGUAGUGUUUGCGUCACCAGUAAAUUCAUCAGCAUCAAAAGCACAAUGUCAAAGAGAUCAGAGUGAGUAGGGUGAGGCCUUUUUUUUUUUUUGAAUAUGCUACAAGCUUUGAAAGUUUGACAAAUACCUUUAAUAGGCGGCCACAUGCGUUUAUAAAAACAAUUUCGAUAAGUCCGGAAGGGAAGUUAUUUUUCACAAGAUGAACAAAAAUCUUUUACACAGUAAAAUAUUUUCAUUAACUUUUGUGCAACCAAAUAAGGGAAAUUAGGAAAAUAUUUUCCUGAAAAAGAUUUCACUUGAAACAAAUGGACCCGAAAUGAUACUCAUAUACAAUAUUUGUUUAAGACCUGUCUGAAUGAAUCAAUGGGUAUGAAAAGCCGAAUCUGAGGGUUUCAUCAUUAGCUAUUUUGCUAGUUAUUCAACUUGAUUAUCCCUUUGUCCUAAUUUUUUUUAUGAAACAAAAUCAAAACAGAAGCAAAAAAAAUUAGUAAAUAAAUUAAAGGGACACGUAUCUCUCUCACCACCUUCUGUUCCCCUUCCCUCUGUCCCCUCAAAAUCGCCUCAAAGCUAUGUACCUAGUUCGUAUCUAUAUCGCUUUAAAUGGAUUUGUGGCCACACAAGUUUCAUUUCAUUCCAUUUCAGAAUAAAAUAAUCUUUUUUAACUUUUGUUGUAGUACCAUAUUUUAAUGCAAUCGGAUCAUAUCUAAUCUUUAAUUAUAUUAUCUUUCCAGCUAAAGGAUAAACUUGCGAGAAAUAGAAUUUGUGAGAGGACUCGUCGUUUAAUUAAAUUUGGCAAGACCAACUUGUGCAGUGAUAUUUGGGAGGAUGAUCCAAGAAAGAGAAUAUAUUAUUAAAGAUAUUCCAAUGAAAGAUACGUUAGGAGAGGCAAGUGUUACCUUUACACAAAAUGAAGUCCCAGAUUUUAAAAAAUUGCUCAGCAAAAACGAACUAAAAUAUUCAUAAACAUGCAAAGAUAAUGUAAGUUUGCAGAAAAUUAUUAUAGGAAAAGAUGCUUUUUUGUCAGCUUUAAUUGAGGAAAAUAAGAAUAUCAUAAGUAGGAAGAGCUACAAUGCUCGAUUCUAUUAUACAAGCAUUGUUGAUCUAGAAAAUGUUGGAUAAGACAUAAAAGAAGGCAUGGGUGCAUUCCGGCUCAAUCUAUCAAAAGGGCCCUCACAGAACAAGGAAAGAAAAAGCAAAAUACCAAUCUGGGCAGCUUGGAUUUAUUGCAAACAGGAUACAAGUCUUACGAUCAAACCAGAAGAGCCAUAAUCAAUACAAUAUUGCAGAAGCUCAACACGAAGCUUCUUUAUUCGGUGCAUAAAACUCUCAAAUCAUACUUGAUGCUAUGCUCACAAUUACCCAAACCAAGUUUUAACUUUUAAUAGUUUUAUUUUUUUUUUCUCUCAAGUUAAAGGAUUUCCACAAAAUCAAUAUUUGACAUACGCACUGGUGGUGUUGACAUCUUUGGCGAGAGUCAAAAGCAGUGGCAUAAGCAAGCACUUCGAAGUGUCUUGCUUGUAGACAAAUCCCUUGCAAUUGCAAUCAUUGGUGCACUUGUCUCUGCAUGCUCCAAAUUCCAUUUCCACUUCUUGACUAUCAGAAGACCACUGGUGGUUCAAGAAGGAUUGCACCCCAUCAAGCUUGAAAUAUUUUGCCUUUGGUUUCUUCCCACACGAGCCCAACUUUGGUGGUUGACAAUUUUCUGUCCAUGCCAAGAGCCCUUUUGGUGUAGGACAUGCCACACACAUCCCAUUUUGGCACAAUCCAAAAUUACCACAUUUUGUCGGCAAAGCACAUGCUGUUGCAAGAUCACUUGGAAAGAAAGUAUAGGUCUGCAUCCAUCUAUCAAAUCUGACUUUGUCAUAGUAAGUAUAAGCCUUGACAUUGCCGUCAGUUUCAAGCCUCAGAAAAGAGUACGUUGCAUUGUAAUUUAGUUUACUGAGUUGUUGAAUCCCGUCAACCUGUGGUUUUGGUGCUGGCGAUUCGAAUAUUUCAAAGAUAAGGUUCCAAGCUAUUGGAGUAGGCUCCCACGUCGAAGGUUGGGUGUUAAACCUUACAGUACUUCCAAAAUUCCCCGGCCAACCAUUGUAGCGAACUUGUUGGCCAGCGUUGUUUAGAUACAAGAGGAGGCCAUCAUCUCCAAGCACUAAGCUGUACUUUCGAUCGGAGCCAUCAACAUCAGAAGUUCGACUGACAAGCUUGUUUACGCCACUCUCGCGAAGGGACUGCCCAACUAGUAACGAAUCAACUGGAUAAUCAAAGCUUUGCCAAAUGAACUUUCCCUUUGUAUCAUACAGCACAAGGUUGCCAUUCUGGAGUAAUUUGAUGCCCGUGACACCCUUGUUAGCCGUGUUGGUUUGCCACACUAGGCCGCCGUCAGAGUCGGCUAGGACCAAGUUUCCAUCCCGGCCGAAAGAAAGGGUGGCGUUUUCUUUCACGGGGUGGUUGCGGUUGGCAUCCCAAACCCACCGCAUUAGGCCCUCGUCAUCUGGGAUGCCAACACGAAUGCCUAGUACGAAAGAAGUUGGGGUGGUGUUGUAGAAACACAGUCUGAAGGGGAAUGUGUAGAAAUCAUAGACAUCAUUGGUUAUGAUGCGAUAAGUUGCCCCAUAUUCAGCUGUGGGUACGAAAUUUUGGAAUUCUCCCAGUGGACCUGUGUUGACAAUUUUGAAGGUAUUGUUAGCUGGCACUUGAGCUCUGGUGCCAAUGGCCAAGAAACAGAGGAGGAGAAUGCUAAGACAGGGUGAAAAUGGAAAGGUACAACGAGCCAUUGGAAUUCUUUUUGUGUAAUAAGGAAUAAAUUGGAAAUGGAAUGAGAGAUACCGACAGGGUUGUAACCGUUUGG